rnacentral:tRNA from 4 species
AGUGAAGUGCCUGAAAAAAGGAUUACCUUGAUAGGGUAAAUAAUGUAUAAUUUACCUUCAUUA